GAGAAACACCGUCAGGCAUUACUGGUUAAGAGACAGACACAAGAGCUGCUGUCAGAGAGGGAGAGCAGGAGAAGACUGGAGUCUGAAGUGGAGGCUCUGUGCUCACAAGAGCGAGAGCUCAAAGGCAAAGCAGAGAGACUGGAAGCAGCUUUAUACAAGGUGUCUGAUGGUCUUCUUGUUAAACAAAUGCUUAUUACAAUACAUCAGAACCGAACAAAUAAUGGAACUGAUGUUCUAUUUGACCAACAUUGUAAACCAUAACAUUAUGUUAUAUAAUGUACAUUAUAUGUCUGACAGUUUUGCUGAAUGCCAAGAUUUUAUUCAGAAAUAGGAACAGGAGUUUAUGAGGCUGAAACUGCAGCAUGCAUUAGAUCUAAAGGUAAAAGUGUACACACAUUUACUGUAGUAGUAGUUAUUUUAUAUCACCUUCUGGUAAAACUUUAUUAUUCUCUUGCUGUUAUGCUAUUUCCAUACAGUAUGUAUGUUUUUUUUUGGUUAGGAAUUGCAAAGCCAGAACUGGCGUAACGUUUCCAGAUCUCCAGUCAGCAGCUGUAUCCUACAGACUCAUCUUCCCCUCGCUCAGCAUAACGUUAAUGGCCUAAUGGAGGUAUGAAAAAAGCCCUUCUAACCACCCACACACUUAAAUAUCUGAAUUGACAGGAUGUGCUGGAACGGAUUUCCCUCUGGAAUCAAUCUCCAGAUGAGAGUCUCUGACCCCCUUGUGGAGUUGAAGAGGUUUUUAAGAGAGCUGCGUGGUGGGAUUGCUGAAGAGCAAGGACCACACACUACCUUAAGCUUCAGGAGGAGACCCGAGGAAGACCACAAAUCUAGACAGUGAGAGUCUCAUUCAACUGAAAAAAAAAUAUAUAGAGAGAGAAAAGCACCUUAGAGAAGACUGUAUCAUCAAGGAAUGGAGGAGUCAAAGAAAUUACAAGCAUUUUUUAUUUUUGCAUACCUAUAGGAACUAAAGGGGCUGAAAGUACUAAAAAAAUAUAUAUAGAGAAAAGCACCUUAGGUAAGACUGUAUCAUCAAGGAAUGGAGGAGUCAAAGAAAUUACAAGCAUUUUUUAUUUUUGCAUACCUAUAGGAACUAAAGGGGCUGAAAGUACCACAAGGCCAACUGGAAGAAUAAACAGUUACAGUGAGCCAGGAUCCUUCAGAACUUCUGAACCUAAUAAGCAGGAUCACCCCAGCCCUUUAUCAGCUGACAAUAAUGCAGUAUGUUUUAGAGCAGGACAGACAUGCUGUUCCUGCUCUGUUUGUGCAACAGGACGCAGGUCUCCUGUGCACCCCACUGACAGAAACUAUUGGCUGGAGAUGGAGCGCCUUGCCUACGCUAAUCAAAUAUCUGCCAACAAUCAAGAUGAGCUCACAGGACAGGCAUCUCAGAAAAUCAAGCUGGACAGGCCGUAGAAGCUACUGA
ensembl:lncRNA